AUCCUGUGCUUGAGCUGUUGACUGAUUUUUAAUCUGACCAGGAAAUCAGCUUCGAUUUGCCUCCCUAGCCCUCUUCUGUCAUCAGGUUCGUUAGCCCAAAGAAAAUGUACCAGGAUAAGAUCUCCCUCCUUGCGUCGUGGUGAGUGUGUGUGUGAAUUGGAACUAAAGGAUAGCAACUGGACAGCUAUCCUCGCAUGAAGUUUCUCAAUACAUGUGCUUCUCCAUGCCAGCUGAGAUCAGAAGUGGGAAAGCUACCGUCACAAGGUGAUUGACUCGCUAAGGAGAGAUGGAUCUGAGACCCACAUGUGACACAGCCAACACUCCUCUCCUGAUGGUGAAAAUGAAGGCCAUAUGACCCAGUCAGGUAUCUGGCAUAGAUGAGGUUGAGGUCUGGGGACAGACUUUUGGAUGAAGUAGAGGCCUGAGUUAGAGGCAAUGCAGGACGGAGUCCUUGAGACAACAGGGGAGAAAGGACGGAGGUGGUAUGACCUCACCUCCAAAAAGGCUAAAAGAUUGUUAUGAAGUUUUUGUUUUGAGUUCUGUUUUUUGAAAGACUGUU
rnacentral:lncRNA from 1 species